UAGCUCAGCCGGUUAGAGCGCCUGCCUUACAAGCAGGAGGUCCGCGGUUCGAGCCCGCGAGCGCCCACCA
rnacentral:tRNA from 1 species